rnacentral:lncRNA from 1 species
UUUAAUUGAUUUAUUAUUUUUUCUUUUUUGGCAGCACUGUGUCAUGCAGAGGUUCCUGAGCCAGGGAUGAAACCUGUGCCACAGUUGUGACAACACAAGAUCCUUAGCUGCUAGGCUACCAGAGAACUCCCGCAUCUUAUUUUUUGUUUGUUAGUUUUUGUCUUUUUAGGGCCGCACUCUCGGCAUAUGGAGGUUCCCAGGCUAGGGGAGCAGCCCUAGAAAAGGCAAAAAGACAAAAAAAAAAAAAAAAAAAAAAGAAGAAAUUGAAUUUGUAGUUUUCCCAUUAAGAACUCCCCAGAGUUUCACUGGGGAACAUCUAUCAAAUAUCUAAGGAAGAAAUGACAUCAUUACACGAACAACUUCAGAUAACAGAAGUGAAGAGACUAAUUCACAACUCUGAGAGCAAGUGUUUGCCUGAUAUCAAAACAAGACGAGGGCGUCCUCUCACCACUUCUAACGAAAAUUGUACAAGACGCCCAAUAGCAGGGCAAUAAAGCAAGAAAAGAGAGCAAAGUCUAUGCAAACUGGAAAGGCAGAAAUAAAAUUCUUUAAUUGGCUACAUAGAAAAUGCUGACGAAUCUAGAGAAAAGCUAAUGGUAUCAAUGAAUCAAUUCAUCUAGGCUGCAGGAUACAAGGUCAAUUGCAAAAAAAAAUCAAAUGCAUCUCUACACACUGGCAAUGAAUCUGGAAAAGGGCCUUUAGAAAACCAAGACAGAGGGCUCUCUGGUGGCUCAACGGCUUAAGAACCUGGCGGUGUUACUGCCGUGGUGAAGGCUCAGUCCCUGGCCUAGAAGGUGCCACAUGCCACAGGUGCAGCCAAAAAACAAACAAACAAACAGGCAAAACAGAGACAGAACCCAAAAAGCAUAGCCAUAAAACUUUGGGUAAAUUGCAGCCCCGAAUUGAUAUAUCAUUAAGAAAACCAAAAGGUUAGGCCAAGGAUGAAAAGGAAGCGUUUAUAAUAAAUAGUCUGGGAGAAGACUGACAUGGAACAUCAAGGACUCUUGCAAGUAAAUGUUAAGGAAACAUCGCCCCCCUCCCGUGCAAACAUGUGCAAGAGACGCGAAGAGACACAUCACAAGAGGUGAUUCACACUCGAAAAGCUCUCAUCCUCCCCAGCAUCAUCGCUCGGCAGGCAGCACAAGCCAGAAGCAUAAAGAGCCAGCGUUAUGUCCCCCUGGCGUGGAUGAGACGUUGGCAGAGUGACAACAAGGGGAGGCGAGGGUGUGGACGGACCGACAGAACCCUGCAGGCAGGCGGGAACAAGGGCAAAGCCACGAAGGAGAGCUUCUGGAAAUCUCUCAAAAAGGCAACACUCACGUAUCUUAUCACCCGGGAACUACAUUCUACGCCUUCACCCACAAGAAACACAGAGGCAGGUCCAAAUGAGCAGGUUAACACAAAUGCUUAGAGCAGUUUUAUUCACAACAGCCCAAGCUGGAAACGCCAAUUUCCGCCCCCAGAGGCACGAGUAAGAGACGAUGUCUACGAGGGACCCACUCACAGCGAGGAGCUCCCGAGACAGGACGCCUCGCUGAGGCCUUACGACGCCGGAAGGAGCGGCAGCAGACACGCGGGGUUACACACCGUGCGACGCCCUCCGUGCGAAGCCCCAGGACAGGCGGAACCCCCGCCCCGACGGAAAGCGGCGACUCAGGGCCCAGGUGGGAUUCGCCGGGAAAGAGCACAAGGGAACUUUUUUGCGGGGACAGAAAUGAUGUUUUUCGCGGUUGUAACACAGGUACCUGGAUCUGUCAACAUUCUGCACACUUAAAAGAGGUGUUUGAGUGUUUGGAAGUUGGACCUCAACCAGACAUGUUUGGUUCACGUGGCCCGGCUCGCUCUGUCUCUAUAGCAUUUGCGAAUCUCCAGUAACGGGGAGUUUCCCAAGAGGGAGAACGCGUUCUUUUUCAGUAAUUUACCCCCUCAAGUCUUCUAGGGUUACUGGAGUCGAAGGACUCAAAACAUGCCCUCACGGGCAGGAUGCUGUUUUAUAACAUUUCAAAACUGAUCGUUGUUUUCUCGUUUCUCUUUUGGCUGCACCCUUGGCAUGCAGAAGCUCCUGGGCCAGGGAUCGAACUAGAGCCACAGCAGUGACAAGGCCACGUCCUUAACCUGCUGUGCCCCGAGGGAACUCCAGAACUGGUCAUUUUGAUUAACGGUCAGAUAAAAGAAGCCUGGAGGCGACAACCAACAGUCCUGCUGGACUGGCGCCCCCUGUAACACAGCUGGCCUGCUCCCAGCAGCCCUACCAAAGAGGGCCC